AAAGACUUAGUCCUAACCUUACCGUUGAUUUAAGCUAAACAUACACAUGCAAGUAUCCGCACUCCAGUGUGAAUGCCCCAGCUUCUUUCCAGCUUAAGAUAAAGGAGCAGACAUCAGGCACGCUUACAGCAGCCCAAGACGUCUUGCUUAGCCACACCCCCACGGGUAUUCAGCAGUGAUUAACAUUAAGCAAUAAGUGGAAACUUGACUUAGUUAUAGCUUUCUAGGGCCGGUAAAUCUUGUGCCAGCCACCGCGGUCAUACAAGAGACCCAAAUCAACUGUUACACGGCGUAAAGAGUGGUACAAUUCUAUCCAAGUGACUAAGGUCAAACUGUAACUGAGCUGUCAUAAGCUUAAGAUGCACUUAAGAUCACCUAUUAAAACGACCUUAGCCCCCUAUGAUAUACUAUAUACCACGAAAGCUAGGACCCAAACUGGGAUUAGAUACCCCACUAUGCCUAGCCAUAAAUCCUGAUGUGCUACAUUCACUAAGCCAUUCGCCUGGGAACUACGAGCACAAACGCUUAAAACCCUAAGGACUUGGCGGUGUUCCAAACCCACCUAGAGGAGCCUGUUCUAUAAUCGAUAACCCACGAUACACCCGACCUCCCCUUGCACACAGCCUACAUACCGCCGUCUUCAGCUCGCCCUUAACUGAGGGUCUAACAGCGAGCUCAAUAGCCACAAUCUUCGCUAACAAGACAGGUCAAGGUAUAGCUAAUGGAGUGGAAGAAAUGGGCUACAUUUUCUAAGAUAGAACAUCCUUUGACGAAGAGAGGCAUGAAAUUUACCUCUGGAAGGCGGAUUUAGCAGUAAAAAGAGACCAUAAAGCUCUCUUUAAGACGGCCCUGGGACACGUACAUACCGCCCGUCACCCUCCUCACAGGCUACAAAUAAAUCAUACCUAAUAUACCUAGAAGCCAAAGAUGAGGUAAGUCGUAACAAGGUAAGUGUA
rnacentral:ncRNA from 1 species